rnacentral:tRNA from 1 species
GCCUCUAUUGUCUAGUGGUUAGGACGUACCACUCGUAUGCAUCCAUGGAUAUGUAAUGGUGAGGUCCCCGGUUCAAAUCCGGGUGGAGGCA